UACAGAGGUGGCAAGCGUUGUUCGGAAUUACUGGGCGUAAAGCGUGCGCAGGCGGUCCGCAAAGUCUGAUGUGAAAGCCCCGGGCUCAACCUGGGAACUGCAUUGGAAACUAACGGGCUUGAGUGUGGCAGAGGGGGGUGGAAUUCCACGUGUAGCAGUGAAAAUGCGUAGAUAUGCGGAGGAACACCGAUGGCGAAGGCAAUCCCCGUGGGCCUGCACUGACGCUCAUGCACGAAAGCGUGGGGAGCAAACAGG
rnacentral:rRNA from 1 species